UACAACAACAGAAUAGUGAAAUUAAAAAUCGUACAUUAUUAUAGAAUUUGUAAUGUUCAGGCACUGCUAUAAAAAAUACUUGAACCAUUUUCACUUAGGGAAUAGUAAUACAGCUGUAGAAGCUUUAGGAAAGGAGCCAGUGUUGGCUGCUGUCCCUGGCACUAGGACAUACAGUCAUAAAACUGUUGAUAAGGUGCAAGUUUCAUAGCAGAGCUCAUAGAAUUCAGCACUUCACCAGAAUGUCCAUUUGCCUAUUGUCCUCUCUGUAUUUUUAGCCUUUUCCCCCACUCCGACCUCCCCGAGUAGCAUUGAUUUUCUGCUAAAGUUGGAAUUUGUGUGAAGAAUUCACUUUUAAUUUCUGAGAUAACUGAAUAUCAGGAAUAGCUUUGCUUGCUAUGAAUUUGAUAUUCAUUUUUUCUUAAAUAAAAUUAGUGAUCUUAUAAAUGUCUCUCCCCCUCGAGAAUGUGCGUUUAGCUCGAAUUCUGAAUGACAAAGUCUUAUUCCCAAUCAUAGCCAGUGAUGAAACCCUCUGACAAUAAAUUCUAUAGCCCUUAACCCAAGGAGUUUACAGUAAACUAGGUUUUCUAGUGGUGCAGAAAUAUCUUUGUGGAAAAGCACGUCACUGUCUGUCUUUUUCUGUCAGGUAAAACUCUGCAGUUAUAGAUCUUGAACUGGAUCCCAAUUCAGAACUUAAGAACUUCAACACUAAAGGGUAGCUCUAGUUCAUCUUCUACAACAGUUAUUAUUUGAAAUAAGAUUUCCAAAUCUAUGCUAUCAUGUCCUCAAACACUAUCUUAACUGUAUUGAAAAUAGAACGUCAUAUGGCUGUUAUCUAAGGACUGAGGUCAGCAACAAAAAAAGUGGGUGGUGUUUAGCAGAGAAGUAGGCCACUUCUAUCACUUGUAAUUGUGAACUAAUUUGUCUUUUUAUUUGCUGGACAAACAGUCUCCAUGAACUUGUGCACGAUGUCCUGUUUUGCCUAUCUGUGGCAUUUUUACUUGGAGAUAGUGAACUUCAGGAACAGAACUAGAGAGAAUGAGGGUAUGUUAGAGGAAGAAUAAAAUAGGAGCUUUUUGCUCAUGGAUCUGAAGGUCCACAAAUCUAAAACAAAAGAAAGCUCUUCAUUUAUAACCCUAAAUUUAAUGCAGUGCUGAGAAGAAGAGGAUCAAAAGGGAUCAAAGUUCAGUUAUUCUGAAUAGUCUUUGGAAAGCAGCAUUUCUUGGUUAAUCGCUUUUCUUACCAUCUCCCAAAUACUUGAUAGCGAUCUUAAAACAGAAAACCCAGGGUAAUAGGCUCUAGAUCUUAAACUAGGUGAGCAGUUUCUUUUUUUUCUUUUUUUGUCUUUUGUCUUUUUAGGCCUGCACCUGCAGCAUAUAGAGAUUCCCAGGCUGGAUCAGAGCUGUAGCUGCCAGCCUACACCACAGCAAUGCCAGAUCCUUAACCCACUGAGCGAGUCCAGGGAUCAAACCUGCAACCCCAUGGUUCCUAGUCGGAUUCAUCUCCACUGUGCCACGACGGGAACUCCAGGUGAGCAGAUUUUUACGUACAGCUGAGUUCCUUGAUAAGGAUCCAGAGGGAAAAUCAGCAGUAAAACAUUUUAACAUGCAGUUUUGGGGGCGCCCAGGAGACUCGCUUUUUCAAAAAGUUUAACCUCUUACUGCAACACUGCUCGGUACCAUCUGGGAUGCUAGCAUUCACAGCAGUUAGUUCGGAUAUCUGAGCUGUCUGCCACAUGAAUACCAGCCUGAGGAGAUCAUCAUUCUUCAGUAUCAUUCAGUGCUUAACGAGUGCCAAAUUAACUGGCAGGGAGGAAAAACGCUAAUACACUGAACAGGCUUGUGUGCAUGAUUAAGGAGCUACUCAAGUAACCAAUUUUGAGCUUAAUUUCACUCCUUUGUUAACAAAUCUCAAGAAAGCCUUUGUUACAGUUUCACUAGUAGUCAUUUGGUUGGUGUUCAUUUUCCAGCCCUUUAAAAUAGGAAGAAAAUUGUAAUUUCAUGUUCAACUUCUAACCCAUACAGAAUUGCACUGACAUCAAUUUAGUUUCCAUGUUUUAAAAUAAUUAUACAUAGUCCAAAGGGUCUCUGUUUAUUCUACUUUGCCAGGAAAUACAUGAGUUCUGGGCUUGGCCUUAGAAGUAUGUAAUAAUUUUGGCUUAUUCUGUAGGUUUCCUCCACAUCUAUAAUAUGAUUAAUUAGAGACGGUAUCUAGAAUAAGUUCAACUCCAUUGCAACUGGCAGAGCUUUAUAAAUUCAUUUUGCAACAAAGGAAAAGACCUUAUACCAUCAGGGCCCUGCCAUCAGAUUUUGGCAAGUGACUGUUUUAGCGCGUUGCCCUGUAGUUGCUGUGUUUACCUUAUUAAGAUGAAAGAAGGAAAACUGAGGGCAGAGGUAUGUAGCUUUAUAUUUCCUGAAUUGCCUCUUUUAGAAGUCUUAGAGAACUUGCAUCUUUGUAAAGGCUUGGCUUAAUUUUACACACACAUAUUAACUACACUUGCAAGAGCACUGAAUACAAAGUUAUAAGACAUGUUAAAGUAAUUGUAUACCCAACCCCAAAUUCAGUAGUAGGGUAUUAAAGUCCAAAUGUUUAAAUGUGGGUAGUCUAUGGGGAAGAUACAUGUUUUUGAAAGUCAUAUACAUAUUUCCUCUUUGAGAUAUAUUUUUCUUUCAAAAACAAGAAAAACGACCUAGUGACCAGUUGUAAAUUGUUUUCUCCCUCAAUUGUAAACCACCCUUUAGUGAAAUAAAAGUGGACUCUCUUAGGCGUUACAUUUAGCUUGACCAAGAGAUGCUGUGAUUGUGUCAUUCUUUAAGCCUGAUUGCUUUUUUGACUUAUGUAAAAUGUCUUUUCAAUGGAAUGAAAAUAGCAUAGUAUUAAUUUUCCUUUACAUAUUGUCUUCAGCUCAGUGUAGAAAUUGUAAAGUAAUGAGACAUGUUUCUAUGAGCAGAUUCUUUGAUGGAGAUAGGUUUUUCUUCCCUGUCACCACUUCAAAAUCUGUACAACUGAAUCUGCAGCCUCAGAAGAGUACAGGAAAGCUUAGGGUCUCCUUUUCUUGUGUUGAUCUUGGCUACAAAAAAUUUUCCAUCUUUUCAAUGGAAGUGUGUGUGUUAUAUGCAGCUUGGGAAAGAUGUUAGUUUUUUUGUUUGUUUGUUUGUUUGUUUGUUUGUUUUUUAAGUCAACUAUUAACAAAUUCGAAGUACUUAUUGGCCAGAAAUGAAGAUCUCUUUAGAUAGAGAUAGAGCCUCAAAACCAAAGUUGGACUGGAGAUUAGGUUGAGAGGGAAGAUGAAGCUCCAUCCAUAGCCAAUAGAACCGUGUCUUUCUGGGUCUGCUUUUUAAUGCUAUUGAGAGCUCCUUUUCUGUUCCAACAGCUCCUAGACUGGAAAUAGGAUAUUACAGUGAAAGUUGUAGAGCGCCGAACAUCUUUUAUGGGCCUUUUCGAUAACAACAUGUUGUUUUUUACGAUUGAAAAAAUAUUUAUCAUAGAAAUUUAGGAAAUUAUUACUGAAGUAAAGAAAGCAAGCCACUAUUAUUUAACUGGUGAGACUCAGGCAUUUUAUUUUCCUGACUUUCUUCUGUUACCCAACAUGGUGAAGGCCGGAAGAAGUAAAACGAAACAAAAAUCUUGACAGAGCCCUUCCUCCUCGUCUUUUACCGCACGUGUGGAGUCUCAGCCCUUGCUAUAUUCCUUUAAAGAAAGCGUUGCCCUUUUCUAGACAGUCCGAAAGCAAUUCUGUUGAUAUAUAUCUUUCAAGCCUAAAUUAUAGAUGUAUUACCCCAAAGCUGCCUUGUUCAGGUCAUUGGAUGUUUUAUCUCAAAGAUUAAUUUGAAUUUUUCAGCCCUUUUUGCACCAUUAUAGAAGUUUGGAGCAUAGUCCCACCCAUGAAGAGCUUUCUGUUUAGAUGGACUUUUUAAUAUGAUGAAACUCACACCCAGAAAGGAUGAAGUACUUUUGAAAGGCCAAGUGUACGCAAAGCAAAACAGACAAAUUUAACGUCAAGUAUAUAAAUAAGGAAUCCUUGAAAACCAGAGCUCCCUUACCGUGCUUAGCAAACGUCUCUCCCCCAAAAAAACGCAUUCUUCUGUUUACCAGCUAAGAUUUAGGAUGUUUGUAUUUCAUUAGUCCUUUUCUUAACGUAUGAAGGAAGAAACUGCAGCCUUUCAGGUUCUAUUCCUUCCUUUCCCCUCAGUAGCGACCUGCAUCCCGUACCUAAACCAGAAGUGGAAAUCGCGAGGGUGGGAAGUCCGGAACACCCGGCAUGAGCUAGUCGGAGGUUUUAAACAGGAGUGUUUUGAGACAUCAGGUGUCUUCUCACAUCAUUCUUGUUCUAAGUCAUUGUUGGGCUGUGUUGCGUGUGUUUUGCAGUCUUCUCCACCCCUCUCAUGAUCCUCCUUGCUUUAAUCUUAUUUUCAACCAAUCCAUAUGGGCUUUUUAGGUUUUCGUUUUGUUUUGUUUCUUAGUACAAAUAAUGUUCUGAUCCCAGUUUUGGUGAAUGUGUUAACACUGCUUUGUGAAUAAAAUGAGUGAUCUGCUGAACAAUUGCAGUUGUAGAAUUAUGUUGUAUGUAAUGUACAUAUGGAGAAAGAAUGUAUUUUGUUCAUUUUCUUAAUAAAAAGUUAUAUAUGGACGC
rnacentral:lncRNA from 1 species